rnacentral:lncRNA from 1 species
GCGCUCAUACCGGACGGGGUAUGAGGACGACCAACUUCACCCUCAUACCGGACGAGAUAUUGAGGUUUAAUAUCUUGCCGCUCAUGCCGAACGGGGUAUGGGGACGGCUCUGUAAUUAGGAUCGUUAAUGGAAAUUGUUCACGUAUAGCAGAGACACCCCUAUGGAUACCCAUGGAUACUAGUAGGGUGGUGAAACAAGAGACGGUUAUGAUUUAGUUU